CAAACUGGAGAUGGCGACCGGCGCACGGGUGAGUAACACGUAUCCAAUCUGCCGAUAACUCGGGGAUAGCCUUUCGAAAGAAAGAUUAAUACCCGAUGGCAUAGUUCUUCCGCAUGGUGGAACUAUUAAAGAAUUUCGGUCAUCGAUGGGGAUGCGUUCCAUUAGGUUGUUGGCGGGGUAACGGCCCACCAAGCCUUCGAUGGAUAGGGGUUCUGAGAGGAAGGUCCCCCACAUUGGAACUGAGACACGGUCCAAACUCCUACGGGAGGCAGCAUG
rnacentral:rRNA from 1 species